UAACCUCUGGCGAUGUUCGUGAACGUUG
rnacentral:ncRNA from 1 species